rnacentral:rRNA from 1 species
AAGUCGUAACAAGGUCUCCGUAGGUGAACCUGCGGAGGGAUCAUUACAGAGUUCAUGCCCUUAGGGGUAGAUCUCCCACCCUAUGUUAUCGUUUACCUUUGUUGCUUUGGCGGGCCGUCAGGCCUCGGUCAGGCUACCGGCUUCAGCUGGUAAGCGCCCGCCAGAGGACCCCAAACUCUGAAUAUUAGUGUCGUCUGAGUACUAUAUAAUAGUUAAAACUUUCAACAACGGAUCUCUUGGUUCUGGCAUCGAUGAAGAACGCAGCGAAAUGCGAUAAGUAAUGUGAAUUGCAGAAUUCAGUGAAUCAUCGAAUCUUUGAACGCACAUUGCGCCCCUUGGUAUUCCGGGGGGCAUGCCUGUUCGAGCGUCAUUACAACCCUCAAGCCUGGCUUGGUAUUGGGUCUCGCCGUUUGGCGGGCCUUAAAAUCAGUAACAGUGUCGUUGGAGGCCCUGAGCGUAGUAUAUAUUCUCGCUAUAGGAACUUCCACGGCCAUUAACCCUCACUUUCUAAGUUUGACCUCGGAUCAGGUAGGGAUACCCGCUGAACUUAA